UGUACAUUGGAAGUAUUUUUAAUUGUUUUAAUAUGGAACAUUUAAUGUAUUUGUUUUGCAUCGUAUCGUAAAAGGUUGUGUUAUUAUAAUUGUGAAAUCAGUGUGUUAUGGAUGUGUUUUUGAAUUAUUUGUUAAUUUCUGCUACUAAAUUAUAAAAUUCUGUUUGUCUCCAGCCAGUUAUUUUAAAGACAACAUUAAUUCAAAGUGAGAGUUUUGUGGCAUUUAGUCCCUUUGUCAGUGUUGAUGCAAUUCUAUACUCUUUUUAGACCUUGAUGAAAUUCACUUUUAGCAGAUACAUGUUCAAAAUUUACAGUUGUUCUAUUCACGCCAAAAAUAUUGACGACUCAUCCCGCACUUUACUGAUUUUUGUCCCUCAUCCUUUAACCAAUCACUGUUCAAUUCUGUGAUGUACUGUAUACUGGAAAGCAGUGUCAAGCACUAAUAUCAAGAAGGUCCUUUUUUACUGUAUGAAUGUGUGAAGGAAAUCAUACAAUAUAAGCACCAGCCUUGAGGAAUCUCCAAAUAGCAAACUAUUGUGUACUUGCAAUGUACCAGCAUUAUUAUACAAGUACUGGGGACAACUAAUAAUAAUUACACAUAUAGCCUACGUGUCUCAGCAAACACUUCUGUUUUUUAAAUGGUCUUGUCUACUUACAUAUCUGUAAUGAAUGGGAUCCAGAGUAAUAUACUGUGGAAAAUGCUCUGUAUCGUAUGAGUUUUAUCAUUAGCUGUGAUUUCAAGUGUACACUAUUCUGAGUGAAUGUGCUUGUGGAAAUAUGUAUGACCGAUAUUUUCCUACCUGCACUGUUUAGUAAUUAAUGUCCUUGUAAGUUACAGCAUCAUGUCAAGUCCUUCAUUUAUUUGUGGAAUAUUGUGUAUUUUAUUAAUAUAUCUGAUGUUACAGCUCUCAUAGAUCCCAGUGCCAAUUAUUGUAUGUUGAGGACUUUGCGUCAUUGACUGAUUUGUAUUAGAAAGCACUGAAUCUCUGUGAAGUCUGGUAUUUUUUUGCUUAGUAAAUGCCUAGAUUUCUAUAUCAGGUUUGCCUUUGUUCACCUGCAUUGUUGCUUGCUGUGAUAUUAUUUGCACUGUCUGUAACAUAUUUUUGUCUUUAUGAAACUUGUUCAGUGAUUUUCUCUAAGAUGAAACGGUGGUCCCAAAAUGAUUUAAUAAAUGUAAUAUACAAUUUGAC
ensembl:lncRNA